CGAGAUGUGGCUCAAUUUGGUAGAGCAUUAGGUUUGGGACCUAAGGGUUGCAGGUUCAAAUCCUGUCAUCUCGACCA
rnacentral:tRNA from 1 species